CCACUUUCGUUCUAAUACUUUUUGUUGUUCAGAAUGACCAUCUUUCGGGUGACUAGUAGUUGUUGUAUGUACGCGUAGGAUAUUAAGGCACUGUUUCACAAUGUCUGGUUAGUGGCUACCUGUGAGAUAAAAUACGUGCUGUCACUGUCUGUUACUUAUUAUUUUUUGACAGAUACAGCAUGUAUUUAUCUCACAGGUAACCACUAACCAGAUAUUGUGAAACAGGGCCUUACAGUUGUAAUUUAUAGCACUUACUUCAUUUCUAAGUCUCAGAUACGAUAACAAGAUGGUGUAUCAUAUACAAAACCAAAGCAAAUAAUUGUUUACAUCCUAACUAAUAUUAUAAAUACGAAAGUAACUGUGUCUGUCUGUCUGUCUGUCUGUUACUCUUUCACGCCAAAACUACUGAACGGAUUUGAAUGAAAUUUGGUAUACAUAUGGUCUAGACCCUGGGAAAGAACAUAGGCUACUUUUUAUCCCGGAAUUCCCACGGGAAAACUUUUUAAGGCGAAGCGAAGCGCGCGGGAACAGCUAGUGUAUAAUAAGUACUAUUAUUUGUUGAGACGUUUCUUGUGCACUGAAAAAACUUGCCAUCUUGUUGUUAUUGUUAAUCUAAGGUCUAAGUAUAUUUUGAAGGUUGCGAGCAUAGAACAAGGCGGACUCGGGGUUGCGAGUUUAGUGAGUAUAGGAAGAAUGUCAAAGUAGGUACUUACCGAAACAAAUGUAGGUACUUAAUUAUUUCUUUAUCUCAAGUUCACUGGUAGAUAUUGCUGUUAGCGCUCAUAUUGUUCCCUUACUCAUAGAAAUAAUAAUAUAAUUGUGCAAUAAAAAUUGUUUUAUAAAUAAAAUAUAAUAAGUACCUACACUUAUAAUGUAAGGUAUAGACUUUUGAAAAUGUAUAGCAGUUUUUGAGAUUAAGUAAGAAAUAAUAAUUAAUUGCAGUACCUAGCAUGAUUAUUUUAUGAGUAUGCCUAUUUGUUUUAAAUAGCGUUAAUUGGAUGUAAAUAUCUAUUGUGGAAAAUAAAUAAAUCCUUAAGCUACGUG